rnacentral:lncRNA from 1 species
CUGUGAUUUUGUAAUUUCAAUUUCAAUGAAUAUACAAUAACUUCUUCCAACCCGAACAAUAUUUAAGUUAACCGUUAAAUUUAUUUACAAUGUUUAAACUGGUACUGUUGCCGUGUUCAUGUUCAUGUUUGUUUUUUUGUACAUUAAAUUUGGGUCUUGGUCGAUACCAUACUUAUUCCAGACGUUCCGUAUCAGAGGACAUUUCAGGCAUUUCCUCUGCACUUCUUGUAUUAUUAUAACUUCAUCACGGUGUGGCAAGAAUAACAGUAUAGAGUACCAUUAAUUCAUAGAACAAAACAACAAAUCGCUGAAGUCAUGUUUACAAAAUGUCAAAACGAGC